rnacentral:lncRNA from 1 species
GUAAUUCCUUGCUAAUGAUGCCACGUCACCUCUGUCACUGUAGUUAAUCUCGGGUUAGUUCAAAACCGAUUCAAAUUUAAAAUUGAAUUAAAGUCAAACGGUAAAGAUUUUCUAAUAUUAAAACUAAAAUGUUGGGGUGUUGCCAAAUAAUGCAUAGGUAAUUAUUGUGGAGAAAGAACAUUCUUAUAAAAAGUUUAAAUGCACUUAAAUGAUUAAAACAGUAGGUAAAGCUAUUAAAUAAAUGCCUUUGAUAUUUUAUAAAAUCAUAAACUAUUUUAUCUUGAGGUAAAACUUUUUAGGGUAGUGGGUUGUUUUGAAACACUAAUUUGGAGCUAUUGUCAUAUUUUACUAAACUAAGAAUAAAGUGUAACUAAAAUAAAACAGAAAAGGAAAAAUAAUAAAAGAAAAGAAAACCAGAAAAACAAAAUAAAAGGAAAUAAAAGCCACCUUGGCCAACCGGGCCAAACGGCCCAGCCGGCCAGCCCACCCCGGCCCAGCCGGCCACCCAUCUCUCUCUGGCCUGCUAAGGCCGCCGCCCCCACCCGCUAAACCUAACUUCCCCCACUUCUCCCACUUCCUCGAUCCCCUUCUUCCCCUCCCGAUCAGGAAGCCCUGUCGGGCUCGUCCCGACCACGCCGCCUCUCCCCGGUGACCGCGCCGCCCCACUCCUCGACACCGGCGCCCGCCUCUUCAACCCUCCCUCCUGCGUGGAUCUGGUCGGGGGCAAUCGACGCCCCCGACGCCCUGCGCCCACGCCGAUGCCAUACCCCGUCAUCACCGUCCCCACCCGUCGACGACGUUCGCCUCCUCGACCCCUUCCCCGACGGACUCUCCCGCGCUUCGCCGACGAACCCCUGCACCGGGGGUAUGACCCCAUCUCCCCCUGCCCCUUCCCCUACGCCGGUCGCUCCUUCACCGCGCUCACCACGUCGCCCCGUCGCUCACCGUCCGAUGCUGCGCGCCGCGUCCGACUACGCAUCACUGCGGCCAGCAACUGCUGCUGCCCGGCUCGGCCGCUCCCUGCUUGCGUGCCCCACGCCCAGCCCUGCAUCCGCACGCCCAUGGUGCCGCCCGCCGGAGCCCCGCCUCCGCCCGCUGUUGCUUCGCCGACUUCCGCAGCCUGCCGUUUCCACCAUUCCCUCGCGCGCGCCGGCGUCCCUCUCGUGCUCCCCGCACUGGCGCCGGGCCGCGUCCUGCUCCCCCUUCCCAGCGCUCUGCGCGUUGGCCGCUGGCGCUCCUCUGGAGCGGUUGGGCGUGCCUUGCCUUGCCUUGCCGUGGCCGGCUCGGCCACUGCCAAUGGCCCCCUGGCUUAAUUAGGGGCUAAUUAACCCCCACGCCCUUUUCCAAAAAAAAGAAAUAAUGAAAUUAAUUAUUUAAUUAAUUAACCAAUUAAUUAGCUUAAUUAACUUUGUUUAGUUUACCUAAUUAACUUGAUUAGUUAAUUAAAACUGUUAGUUAGUUACUAGUAAAUGACAGAUGGGCCCCACUGCCCGGUUUGACCAGUCAACGGUCAGUGUUGACCGCUGACGUCACGAUGAGGUCAUGCUGGUGCAAUAACUUUGUUUUAGAAUUAAUAUCACUUUCAGAAUAUUGUUAAACCUUCAAAAAAAUCAUAGAAAUUAAACCGUAGCUCAGAUCGAAAAACUUUGUACAUGAAAGUUGCUCAGAACGACGAGACGAAUCCGAAAGCGCGGUCUGUUUACCUGCCAGAUGCUUCUAACUACCUGAACAUGGAACUUUCCCGCUCCGGUCAUCUGUCUGACACAGGUCCGGAACCGGGAAAACAUUCCCGGUUGAAUUCCCCCUUCACCUAUAUCGUGUAGCCAUACGUUAGGUCACACCCGGCACAGCAUAUUGCCACGUUAUGCUUUGUGAUGCUAUGUUUGCUUUAAAUUUACUGUUUCUUCCCCCUCUUCUCUCCGGUAGACCCCGGGACUGGUGCUGCCCCUAUGAUCGACUACAUCAACGACGACCCUUCUUCCUUUCAUCGGAGCUUCCAGGCAAGCCCCCCCCCUUGAUCACCAGAUAUCACCUAUUCUUCUCUGUACUGCUUGCAUUAGAGUAGUGUAGCAUGUUACUGCUUUCCGUUAAUCCUAUCCUGAUGCAUAGCCUGUCAUUGUUGCUACAGUUGUUACCCUUACCUGCUAUCCUACUGCUUAGUAUAGGAUGCUAGUGUUCCAUCAGUGGCCCUACACUCUUGUCCGUCUACCAUGCUAUACUACUGGGCCGUGAUCACAUCGGGAGGUGAUCACGGGUAUAUACUAUAUACAUUAUAUACAUGACAAAUGUGGUGACUAAAGUCGGGUCGGCUCGAGGAGUACCCGCAAGUGAUUCUGAUGAGGGGGCUCAAAGGACAGGUGGCUCCACCCGGGUAGAGGUGGGCCUGGGUUCCUGACGGCCCCCGACUGUUACUUUGUGGCGGAGCGACAGGGCAGGUUGAGACCACCCAGGAGAGAGGUGGGCCUGGCCCUGGUCGGCGUUCGCGGUUACUUAACACGCUUAAUGAGAUCUUGGUAUUUGAUCUGAGUCUGGCCAUUUGGUCUAUACGCACUAACUAUCUACGCGGGAGUAGUUAUGGGUAUCCCGACGUCGUGGUAUCAGCCGAAGAUCUUUUGACGUCAGCGACUGAGUGGCGCUCGCCGCAUUGGACCGUAAGCUCGCGCUUGUAUUAAGGGGGCUAGGUCUGCUUCCGGCCGCGUACGCAACGUGCAGGUGUGCAUAGGGCGAUGGGCCCAGACCCCUGCGCGCAUAGGUUUAGACCGGCGUGCUGACCUCUCUGUUGAGCCUAGGUGGGUCUGCGACGUGUUGAUCUUAUGAGGCCGGGCAUGACCCAGUAAAGUGUGUCCGGCCAAAUGGGAUUGAGCGUGUUGGGUUAUGUGGUGCACCCCUGCAGGGAAGUUUAUCUAUUCGAAUAGCCGUGUCCCUCGGUAAAAGGACGACCCGGAGUUGUACCUUGACCUUAUGACAACUAGAACUGGAUACUGAAUAAAAUACACCCUUCCAAGUGCCAGAUACAACCCGGUGGUCGCUCUAUAACAGGGCGACGAGGAGCGGAUCGCCGGGUAGGAUUAUGCUAUGCGAUGCUACUUGGAGGACUUCAAUCUACUCUCUUCUACUUGCUGCAAGAUGGAGGCUGCCAGAAGCGUAGUCUUCGACAGGACUAGCUAUCCCCCUUUUAAUCUGGCAUUCUGCAGUUCAGUCCACUGAUAUGCCCCUUUACACAUAUACCCAUGCAUAUGUAGUGUAGCUCCUUGCUUGCGGGUACUUUGGAUGAGUACUCACGGUUGCUUUUCUCCCUCUUUUCCCCCUCCUAUACCUGAUUGUCGCAACCAGAUGCUGGAGUCCAGGAGCUAGAGAUCCCGAGGAUGAUUCUACAUGGAGUUCGGCUUCGAGGAGUAGUUAGGAGGUCCCAGGCAGGAGGCCUUGUCUUUUCGAUCGUUGCUACUUUUGUGCUAGCCUUCUUAAGGCAAACUUGUUUAACUUAUGUCUGUACUCAGAUAUUGUUGCUUCCGCUGACUCGUCUGUGAUCGAGCACUUGGAUUCGAGCCCUCGAGGCCCCUGGCUUGUAUUAUGAUGCUUGUAUGACUUAUUUAUGAUGUAGAGUUGUGUUGUGAUAUCUUCCCGUGAGUCCCUGAUCUUGAUCGUACACAUUUACGUGCAUGAUUAGUGUACGGUCAAAUCGGGGGCGUCACAAGUUGGUAUCAGAGCCGACUGCCUGUAGGAAUCCCCCUUUCCAAAUCCUUGGCCGAAGUCGAGUCUAGUCAUUGAAAAACUUUUACUAACAUGGCUGUGUGGUUUACGGGCCCACCUCGCCAUUGGGUGGUAGUAGGAUCUUUUAUUCCUCGUCUAUACUCUGGGACUCUGAGCUCUCUUCUAUUCGGGUAAAUUGAUUUUGCUAAAAACAAAACUAACUUUAGGUUCUCGAAAAUACUAUCUCCCGGAGAGCCCCUUCAGUCCAGAUGAUCGCCGACUGCAUCAGAAGAUUUCGAAGAUACUCUCCGAUAUUCUCUCAAGACCUUGUGCCCGUUGCCUUUGCAAUUCCCUACCACCAAAAUAUCCCUAUGGAUAAAUACUUACACCUGUCAUUCUUACUUUUAUUCCCAGUCGAUCUUGUUAAUACAAAAUACCCCGAGAAUACUUUGUGCCUACUGCCUUGCAGUUCUUUGCCAGCUGAAUACCCCUACGAAUAAAUUCUCGCAUUUACCGAGUAUCCGCUCAUCCACAGUUGAUUCAAGUAUUUCACAAAAGUGUUCAAAAUAUCAUUCGAUUUUCCGAAAAUCUUCAGGAGCCUUUUUGCUCUUGAAAUUCUUGCUUACUUGCAUUAUGAUUAAUCUUAAGUCUCAUAAUCUUAUCGGCAUCUCUUGUCAUUAUCAUUUUGAGUCCGUUGAUUCAAUUUGUUGCGAAUGCUCGCGAUCCUCAAUCAUAUCCUAGAAUUCAUUCUUCCGGCUCAGACGUCAUUUUAAACGUGAGUUGGAUCUCGACCUAUCAAAUUGCCAUCGAUGGUACCCCUAAGCCUACUCAACUUAUCCAUCCUUGAUCAGAGCGUUGCUUCUGACCCCAUGAUUUGGAAAUCAUAAUUCCUUUGCAUUUGAACUUUGAGUUAGUCAGUUGUUUCUAUAGUAUGAUCUUCUUGCAUUCUUCUUCCUCUGGUUGAGUACUGAUGCUCACAUCAGAUCCCUUGUGGACCACCAGACCCUUUUGUCAGAUUUUAUACAACAAUGUCCUCCAUAUUAAAUAAGCUGGUGAGCUUUUCCUCGGCUAUAUUAUACCUUUGGUAAAUUGUAUCAUCUGUUUUGUGAACCAUGCUCUACUUUUGAGCUUGUAUUAUUUACUCCGAAGUUUGUGGUAUAUGUUUCCACGAUGCCCCGAUGGGUUGAACCUAUGCGUUCCUUAAUCUGUGUGAACCCGAAAGAUUUCGCGGGACAUACUUAUCUGGUAUUGCACCAGGUAAAACUUUCGACAACUAAUGUCAUUAUCAAAAUACGAGAGGCGAAUGGAAGGUUAUGCAUUGAAGAAGUGGGAGUCGACCUUGAACCUUUGUGUUCAUGCCCAUGGACACGAUGUAGAUCCUAUCAUGGAAGCUUCUCUUAUAAUAAUUACCCCCUUGUAAUAAGUUUAUCUAGUAUCCGUGGACGUGGUUCCGACCAUGUUUCUCCUUGAUUCCGUUUCUCGUGCAAGUUUGAGCACUUGUCUUCUGCAGGGCAAUACCCUAGUCCAACCUUUACCUUGAUCUGUCGUUGAGUAUUACCCCCUGGUAUCUCGAGAUUAUCAUGGAACUGCAUAACUUCUUAUGAGUUUUUCAUCAAGUGCUACAUUCUCACUGAUUCCAAUUUUCCACGGGCUCUGAGUUAUUAGUCACUCGAGAACACCGAUAAGCGAAUCGAUUCCGCACUCUGAUUCAAUAACUCUAAGUAAUUCUUGUUGCUUACGAGUUUAAUAAUCGUUCAAGUCAUUCCUAGCCUUAUCGGCUAUAUCAUUAUCGUGCAAAAAUUUUAACUGUGCUACCGGGUCCUUCCCGGAACACAACUUUCGAUGAUGAGCUAAGCUUACGUCGAUCUUCCUCGUCAUAUUAGUUCGCCUUGAACAACAAGCUUGAUUUCAAGUUUGUGUCGUACCCCUGGUUCCAAUAACUUUUCGCUUCAUCAUUCCUUUGACUUGAUGUCAUCGCCGAUCGAUUACCUCUUCAUAACUUCUCGCGACAAAUGUGUCGUGAACAUCAUCAACAUUCCGAGCUCUUCCAAGAUAUCUAUCGAAUUCUGGAUGAGAAAUACCAUCCUUGCCCUCGAUGAUUUGUUUUAUCAUCGACCAUUUUAUUGCCUUCCAUUCAACACAAACUUGUUCGUGUUUUGUGUUGUACCUUGAUAUCCUUGCUAUCUAGCUUAUGAUAUGUUCUACCCUGGAGUAUUACCAUCUUUUAUGUCAUGUAUGUCGUAAGAAUCUCACCACCUCGUAUGACAUCUUGGUACAGUGAUACUUCUCCCCAUCACCAUUCUUUCUUGGUCCCCGUGUUGUUUCUAAAAGGAAUACCGACAAAUGGUCUGUGAUGUGUAAAUUCUAAACUUCUAGAAACCCUAUUGCUUUGAAGUUAUUGGUCUAUAGUUUCAUUCUACGUCUAUGGCAUAAUGAAUCACCAUUCGAACAUUGAUUGUGCUACCUAGCCCAUAUUUCGGGUGCACAUUUCAACCAAUGUUUAACUGUGUAUGUUUUCCUCGAGCAUACAUCAUUAAGUCAUUCGAUCUAGCUAAUGUUAUCUCCUUGUUCACAUAGUGUUGGAAAUCCAUCUUUUGGAAAUCUCAAUGGAUUGUCGCUGAGUCAAUUAGUCACCUCCUCACCUCUCCUUGAUGUAAUGAUGAACCCUUGUUCAGAACUCGCUUCCAGAGUUCAUCUCCCGAGAAUCUUUGAUGUCGUUUUGACAAUUUGUGUUGCACCUAUCUUCUCAGACAUCCUGAGUCUGAGUUAUCCUGAAACCAAUCAGAUCUGAAUCUCGGUCAGAUAUGAUGGUUGGAACAUAUUUCCAAGAGUUAUAACAUUGGCCUAUUUAUGACCCGGUAAGGUGAUGAUACCCAGCACACCUGGCGGGAGGACCUAUUGUUAUAGUUUUCUUUUUGGCAAGGUUAGUCAUUCUUCCGCAAGGAAAUUGUAAGACUUAUUCUAUAAGUUGUUUCCGAUGGAUCCUUUGUAUCCAAAGUCUGACCUUUGCUUGAAGACCAUGCCAAUGUUAUCUCGAAGCAUGUCUGUGGUACUCCGAUUUUCAAUAAGAGCAUUUGAAGAACAAUGCAAAAUUUUCUUUGUCCAUUAUCCAAACACCGUUGUAUGGGUGAUGUCAUGAAAUUUCUCUCACCUUACCUAAAGAGUUUUCUACAUUAUAUCCUGUCCUGGAUAUCAUGCUCUGCUUGUCCUUGGGAAGGAUACACCCUUGAAAUAUGUGUUUAAACACAUUUUCCUUUCCAUUCUUCUGUUUAUUCUGAUAAUCAUAUUUUCCUUUCCAUUGUUUGGUUUAACCUUUCUGGUGAUCUAUAUGAUCUAAGCAGUAAUAUUCUCCUGCUUAUGUAAACACCUCGGUGUACAAUUCUGUCAGCAAGACCCUGUUACUAUUGUUGAUGACAUCCCGGUAGCCACCGAUGGACAAGAACUUUGCCUUAUGGUCCGCCUCGUUUCAACGAGCAGGAAAAUGGUUCUCUUCGUCCCUCGCCCUUGGUACCGACGAUGUUGCUGACAUAUAACUGACAGGCUACCCUCUGACAUGCCUUUCUAUCAUGAUCAUGCAAGAUGUCACCGCCCUUCCUACUUUUAACCCACAUGGUGGGCCCAUAACCCACAGUUCCACAGGAUCGAAACCUGACUCUCCUGUGCACCCCCUGUUCCCAAAUUUAUUCAUCGCGCGUGGCCUCGUAUGUAAUUCACGGACCACCGUCCUACUGAUCUAUACUGGCAUCAGACAUAAUACUUAUUCCGAUUGCUUUGAACCCCUUUCACACUUUGUUUCAGGCUUCGAACGAUUGCCUACCCGUUUGAAACUUCUCAUGGUACUUUCUUACUUGCUCUCGGCUUUUCUUAAGGUUUAGUUCGAGAGAUACUUUCCGCCACUUUCCCCGAUGAUGUUGACCAGAUAGUAAACCCUGCAGAAGUCCGUUCUUCCAGAAUACCCCUUUAUUCUUUCGUAAGUAUGAUGGAGUUCCUGGAGAAAGGAUGCCGAGUUCAUCAUGAUGACUUGAAGCAGCGGAAUGAAGACAUCAACGUAAUGGAUCGUCCUGUUCGGGAAGAGCUGCCAAGAACAAGAAGACUCGCUAGAAUUUCGUAACCAUAACUUUCCCCCUUACUCCCCUUCUUAAAAUCUCGGGACGAGAUUUCUUGUAGUGGAGGAGAAUUGUGACGCCCGGAUAAUUAGACUACGGUAAUUCCUUGCUAAUGAUGCCACGUCACCUCUGUCACUGUAGUUAAUCUCGGGUUAGUUCAAAACCGAUUCAAAUUUAAAAUUGAAUUAAAGUCAAACGGUAAAGAUUUUCUAAUAUUAAAACUAAAAUGUUGGGGUGUUGCCAAAUAAUGCAUAGGUAAUUAUUGUGCAGAAACAACAUUUUUAUAAAAAGUUUAAAUGCACUUAAAUGAUUAAAACAGUAGGUAAAACUAUUAAAUAAAUGCCUUUGAUAUUUUAUAAAAUCAUAAACUAUUUUAUCUUGAGGUAAAACUUUUUAGGGUAGUGGGUUGUUUUGAAACACUAAUUUGGAGCUAUUGUCAUAUUUUACUAAACUAAGAAUAAAGUGUAACUAAAAUAAAACAGAAAAGGAAAAAGAAUAAAAGAAAAGAAAACCAGAAAAACAAAAUAAAAGGAAAUAAAA